UGCUCCUAGUACGAGAGGACCAGAGUGGACGAACCUCUGGUGUACCGGUUGUGACGCCAGUCGCAUCGCCGGGUAGCUAUGUUCGGAAGGGAUAACCGCUGAAAGCAUCUAAGCGGGAAGCCUACCUCAAGAUAAGAUUUCCCUAGGACUUUAUGUCCUCUAAAGAGCCGUUCGAGACUAGGACGUUGAUAGGUUGGAUGUGGAAGCAUAGUGAUAUGUGAAGCUGACCAAUACUAAUUGCUCGUGAGGCUUGACUAUACAACACCCAAGCAGUUG
rnacentral:rRNA from 1 species